AGGAUUAACGCUGGCGGCGUGCCUAACACAUGCAAGUCGAACGAGGUAGCAAUACCUAGUGGCAGACGGGUGAGUAACGCGUGGUCAACCUACCGUUGAGUGGGGGAUAACUAGCCGAAAGGUUAGCUAAUACCGCAUACGAGUCUCGGGGGCAUCCCUGGGACUUAAAAGGAGCAAUCCGCUCGAUGACGGGACCGCGUCCCAUUAGCUAGAUGGUGGGGUAACGCCUACCAUGGCACCGAUGGGUAGCUGGUUUGAGAGAGCGACCAGCCACACUGGGACUGAGAAACGGCCCAGACUCCUACGGGAGGCAGCAGUGAGGAAUUUUCCGCAAUGGGCGAAAGCCUGACGGAGCGACGCCGCGUGUGGGAAGAAGGCCUUCGGGUCGUAAACCACUGUCGAAGGGGACGAUAAUGACGGUACCCUUGGAGGAAGCCCCGGCUAACUACGUGCCAGCAGCCGC
rnacentral:rRNA from 1 species